rnacentral:rRNA from 1 species
GACGUAGGGGACGAGCGUUGUCCGGAUUUAUUGGGCGUAAAGCGCGCGCAGGCGGCUUGGUAAGUCGGGUGUGAAAAUCCGAGGCUCAACCUCGGACGUGCACCUGAAACUGCCAGGCUAGAGGUAGGUAGGGGAGAUCGGAAUUCCUGGUGUAGCGGUGAAAUGCGCAGAUAUCAGGAGGAACACCGGUGGCGAAGGCGGAUCUCUGGGCCUUAUCUGACGCUCAGGCGCGAAAGCUAGGGGAGCGAACAGG